rnacentral:rRNA from 1 species
AUUGAACGCUGGCGGCAGGCCUAACACAUGCAAGUCGAGCGGAUGAAGGGAGCUUGCUCCUGGCUUCAGCGGCGGACGGGUGAGUAAUGCCUAGGAAUCUGCCUGGCAGUGGGGGAUAACGUCCGGAAACGGGCGCUAAUACCGCAUACGUCCUGAGGGAGAAAGUGGGGGAUCUUCGGACCUCACGCUAUCAGAUGAGCCUAGGUCGGAUUAGCUAGUUGGUGGGGUAAAGGCCUACCAAGGCGACGAUCCGUAACUGGUCUGAGAGGAUGAUCAGUCACACUGGAACUGAGACACGGUCCAGACUCCUACGGGAGGCAGCAGUGGGGAAUAUUGGACAAUGGGCGAAAGCCUGAUCCAGCCAUGCCGCGUGUGUGAAGAAGGUCUUCGGAUUGUAAAGCUCUGUAAGUUGGGAGGAAGGGCAGUAAGUUAAUACCUUGCUGUUUUGACGUUACCAACAGAAUAAGCACCGGCUAACUUCGUG